rnacentral:rRNA from 1 species
UGAUUAAAUGAAUAAGGGCGUAUGGUGGAUGCCUAGGCAUGUAGAGCAGAAGAAGGACGCAGCUAACGGCGAAACGCGACGGGGAGUGGUAAGCACACAUCGAUCCGUCGGUCUCCGAAUGGGGAAACCCAGCGCGAGUAAUGUCGCGUUACCCAUGAGUGAAUACAUAGCUCAUGAGGAGAGAACCCAGGGAAUUGAAACAUCUUAGUACCUGGAGGAAAAGAAAAUAACAAUGAUUCCCUCAGUAGCGGCGAGCGAACGGGGAAGAGCCCAAACCAGCCUAAGGGCUGGGGUAGUAGGACCACGACGUGGUACAGUAACCGAUAGAAGAAGGACAUUGAAAGGUCCGCCAAAGAGGGUGCAAGCCCCGUAAUCGAAAUUGGGAGCUGACCUAGUGGAAUCCUGAGUACGGCGAGGCACGUGGAACCUUGUCGGAAGCAUCCGGGACCAUCCGGAAAGGCUAAAUACUCCUACAUGACCGAUAGUGAACCAGUACCGUGAGGGAAAGGUGAAAAGAACCGCGGGAGCGGAGUGAAAUAGAACCUGAAACCAUAUGCUUACAAGAAGACAGAGCCCGUUAAGGGGUGAUGUCGUGCCUUUUGUAGAAUGAACCGGCGAGUUAUCUUAUCGUGCGAGGUUAAGUGGAAGACACGGAGCCGAAGCGAAAGCGAGUCUGAAUAGGGCGGCAGUACGAUGAGAUAGACCCGAAGCCGUAGUGAUCUAGCCAUGACCAGGUUGAAGUUUGGGUGAAACCAAAUGGAGGACCGAACCGACCCCCGUUGAAAAGUUGGCGGAUGAGUUGUGGCUAGCGGAGAAAUUCCAAUCGAACACGGCGAUAGCUGGUUCUCCCCGAAAUAGCUUUAGGGCUAGCGUCGAAGUAAGGGUAGUGGAGGUAGAGCACUGAAUUCAUGAUGGCGCCGUCAAGGUGUACUGAAUGAAAUCAAACUCCGAAUGCCAUUAUUGAAUCUUCGGCAGUCAGACUGUGGGUGAUAAGGUCCAUGGUCAAAAGGGAAACAGCCCAGAUCAUCAGUUAAGGUCCCAAAAUUACCGCUAAGUGGAAAAGGAUGUGGGGAUGCACAGACAACUAGGAGGUUGGCUUAGAAGCAGCCACCCUUCAAAGAGUGCGUAACAGCUCACUAGUCGAGUGACCCUGCGCCGAAAAUUAACCGGGGCUAAGCGGUAUACCGAAACUAUGGCAAUGAUGUAAAUCAUUGGGUAGGGGAGCGUUCCAUGGGCGUUGAAGCUGUACCGUAAGGAGCAGUGGAGCGCAUGGAAGUGAGAAUGCCGGUGUGAGUAGCGAGAUGCAGGUGAGAAUCCUGCACACCGAUAGACCAAGGAUUCCAGGGGAAGGUUCGUCCGCCCUGGGUAAGUCGGGACCUAAGGCGAGGCUGAAAAGCGUAGUCGAUGGAAAACAGGUUGAUAUUCCUGUACCCGCGCAUCGAGUGAUGGAGUGACAAAGAAGGCUAACCGGACCGGUAAAUGGAUUCCGGACCAAGCGAGGUAGGAGGCAGUCAGGCAAAUCCGGCUGUCAAUCUGAAGGCGUGACGGGGAGUGAACAGCGCGAGCUAAGUAGCGAAGACGGCGAUGCCAGCUUUCAAGAAAAGCUUCUAGCGCUAAUCGAUGAGCGGCCCGUACCAAAACCGACACAGGUGGUCAAGGCGAGAAGCCUAAGGUGAGCGAGAGAACUGUUGCCAAGGAACUCGGCAAAAUAGCCCCGUACGUUCGCAAGAAGGGGCGCUCGAAAGAGCCGCAGUGAAGAGGCCCAAGCAACUGUUUAACUAAAACACAGCUCUCUGCAAAGUCGCAAGACGAAGUAUAGGGGGUGACGCCUGCCCGGUGCUGGAAGGUUAAGAGGAUAUGUUAGUCGCAAGACGAAGCAUUGAAUUGAAGCCCCAGUGAACGGCGGCCGUAACUAUAACGGUCCUAAGGUAGCGAAAUUCCUUGUCAGGUAAGUUCUGACCCGCACGAAAGGCGUAAUGAUUUGGGCGCUGUCUCGGCAGCAGACUCGGUGAAAUCUUAGUACCUGUGAAGAUGCAGGUUACCCGCAACUAGACGGAAAGACCCCAUGGAGCUUUACUGUAGCCUGAUAUUGAGUUUUGAUCAAGUAUGUACAGGAUAGGUGGGAGACGAAGAAGUUGGGACGUCAGUUUCAAUGGAGUCGACGUUGGGAUACCACUCUUAGUUGAUUGAAAUUCUAACCUGUAUCCAUGAGCUGGGUAAGGGACAGUGUCAGGUGGGCAGUUUGACUGGGGCGGUCGCCUCCUAAAGAGUAACGGAGGCGCCCAAAGGUACCCUCAGAUUGGUUGGAAAUCAAUCGACGAGCGCAAAUGCAGAAGGGUGCUUGACUGCAAGACAGACAAGUCGAGCAGGGACGAAAGUCGGGAUUAGUGAUCCGGCGGUGCAGAAUGGAAUGGCCGUCGCUUAACGGAUAAAAGCUACCCUGGGGAUAACAGGCUGAUCUCGCCCAAGAGUUCACAUCGACGGCGAGGUUUGGCACCUCGAUGUCGGCUCAUCGCAUCCUGGAGCUGAAUUCGGUUCCAAGGGUUGGGCUGUCCGCCCAUUAAAGCGGUACGCGAGCUGGGUUCAGAACGUCGUGAGACAGUUCGGUCCCUAUCUGUUGUGGGCGUAGGAAAUUUGAGGAGAGCUGUCCUUAGUACGAGAGGACCGGGAUGGACCCACCGCUGGUGCACCAGUUGUAUCGCCAGAUGCAUAGCUGGGUAGCUAAGUGGGGAACGGAUAAACGCUGAAGGCAUCUAAGCGUGAAACCGACUCCGAGAUGAGAUUUCCCAUUUCCAAGAGAAAGUAAGACCCCUUGAAGACGACGAGGUAGAUAGGUCAGAGAUGGAAGCACAGCGAUGUGUGGAGUUGACUGAUACUAAUCGGUCGAGGAUUUAAUCACA